GACGAACGCUGGCGGCGUGCUUAACACAUGCAAGUCGAACGGAAAGGCCCUGCUUUUGUGGGGUGCUCGAGUGGCGAACGGGUGAGUAACACGUGUGUAACCUGUCCUUGACUUUGGGAUAACUUCAGGAAACUGGGGCUAAUACCGGAUAGGAGCUCCUGCUGCAUGGUGGGGGUUGGAAAGUUUCGGCGGUUGGGGCUGGACUCGCGGCUUAUCAGCUUGUUGGUGGGGUAGUGGCUUACCAAGGCUUUGACGGGUAGCCGGCCUGAGAGGGUGACCGGCCACAUUGGGACUGCGAUACGGCCCAGACUCCUACGGGAGGCAGCAGUGGGGAAUAUUGCACAGUGGGCGGAAGCCUGAUGCAGCAACGCCGCGUGCGGGAUGACGGCCUUCGGGUUGUAAACCGCUUUCGCCUGUGACGAAGCGUGAGUGACGGUAAUGGGUAAAGAAGCACCGGCUAACUACGUG
rnacentral:rRNA from 1 species